GCGGCUGUGGCGGAAUUGGCAGACGCGCUAGGUUCAGGUCCUAGUGGGGGUAACACCCCGUGGAGGUUCGACUCCUCUCAGCCGCA
rnacentral:tRNA from 1 species